CAGUAGCCGCGGUAAUACAGAGGGUGCGAGCGUUAAUCGGAUUUACUGGGCGUAAAGCGUGCGUAGGUGGUGGUUUAAGUCCGUUGUGAAAGCCCUGGGCUCAACCUGGGAAUUGCAGUGGAUACUGGGUCACUAGAGUGUGGUAGAGGAUAGUGGAAUUUCCGGUGUAGCAGUGAAAUGCGUAGAGAUCGGAAGGAACAUCUGUGGCGAAGGCGACUAUCUGGGCCAACACUGACACUGAGGCACGAAAGCGUGGGGAGCAAACAGGAUUAGAUACCCCAGUAGUCCCUGUCUCUUAUAC
rnacentral:rRNA from 1 species